GCAUGGGAUAGCUCAGUCAGUACAGAAUGAGAUUCUUAAUCUCAGGGUCAUGGGUUCGAGCCCACAUUAGGCA